UUAACGCUAGCGGCAGGCCUAAUACAUGCAAGUCGAACGGCAGCGGGUCCAGCAAUGGAUGCCGGCGAGUGGCGCACGGGUGCGUAACGCGUAUGCAACCUACCUUUGACUGGGGGAUAGCCCCGAGAAAUCGGGAUUAAUACCCCAUAAUAUUGCGAAGAGGCAUCUCUUUACAAUUAAAGCUCCGGCGGUCUUAGAUGGGCAUGCGUGACAUUAGCUAGUUGGUGAGGUAACGGCUCACCAAGGCUUCGAUGUCUAGGGGUUCUGAGAGGAUUUUCCCCCACACUGGUACUGAGACACGGACCAGACUCCUACGGGAGGCAGCAGUAAGGAAUAUUGGGCAAUGGGCGCAAGCCUGACCCAGCCAUGCCGCGUGAAGGAUGACGGCCCUAUGGGUUGUAAACUUCUUUUGUACGGGAAAAAUUCCCUGGUUUCGUACCGGGGUUGAUGGUACCGUAAGAAUAAGCAUCGGCUAACUCCGUGCCAGCAGCCGCGGUAAUACGGAGGAUGCAAGCGUUAUCCGGAUUCAUUGGGUUUAAAGGGUGCGCAGGCGGAUUGAUAAGUCAGUGGUGAAAUCCUAGAGCUUAACUCUAGAACUGCCAUUGAUACUGCCAAUCUUGAGUACACUUGAAGUGGGCGGAAUGUGUCAUGUAGCGGUGAAAUGCUUAGAUAUGACACAGAACACCGAUCGCGAAGGCAGCUCACUAAGUUGUAACUGACGCUCAGGCACGAAAGCGUGGGGAUCAAACAGGAUUAGAUACCCUGGUAGUCCACGCCGUAAACGAUGAUUACUCGAUGUUGGCGAUACACUGUCAGCGUCUAAGCGAAAGCAUUAAGUAAUCCACCUGGGGAGUAC
rnacentral:rRNA from 1 species